GGAAUUUUCCGCAAUGGGCGAAAGCCUGACGGAGCAACGCCGCGUGAGGGAUGAAGGCCUCUGGGCUGUAAACCUCUUUUAUCAAGGAAGAAGAUCUGACGGUACUUGAUGAAUAAGCCACGGCUAAUUCCGUGCCAGCAGCCGCGGUAAUACGGGAGUGGCAAGCGUUAUCCGGAAUUAUUGGGCGUAAAGCGUCCGCAGGCGGUCUGUCAAGUCUGCUGUUAAAGCGUGGAGCUUAACUCCAUUUCGGCAGUGGAAACUGACAGACUAGAGCGUGGUAGGGGCAGAGGGAAUUCCCGGUGUAGCGGUGAAAUGCGUAGAUAUCGGGAAGAACACCAGUGGCGAAGGCGCUCUGCUGGGCCAUAACUGACGCUCAUGGACGAAAGCCAGGGGAGCGAAAGGGAUUAGAUACCCCUGUAGUC
rnacentral:rRNA from 1 species